AACGAACGUUAGCGGCGCGCCUAACACAUGCAAGUCGCACGAGAAAGGGCUUCGGCCCCGGUAAAGUGGCGCACGGGUGAGUAACACGUGGGUAACCUGCCCUUGAGCGGGGAUAACAUUCCGAAAGGAGUGCUAAUACCGCAUGAGACCACGCUCUCGAAAGAGAGAGGGGUAAAAGCGUGGCCUCUGUACACAAGCUAGCACUCGAGGAUGGGCCCGCGGGGCAUCAGGUAGUUGGUAGGGUAACGGCCUACCAAGCCUAAGACGCCUAGCUGGUCUGAGAGGAUGAUCAGCCACACUGGAACUGAGACACGGUCCAGACUCCUACGGAGGCAAGCAGUGGGAAUCUUGCGCAAUGGCGAAAGCCUGACGCAGCGACGCCGCGUGAUGAUGAAGCU
rnacentral:rRNA from 1 species